rnacentral:lncRNA from 1 species
GGCAAUUAACGACUUAGUGGCUAAAAUGUUACAACACGAUACGUAAGUGACUAAAAUGUAACAUUUCAAACAUAAAUUACUAAAAUGUAACCUGAGGUAAACAAAAAUGACCAUAGGUGUAGCUUACCCUUUAUUUUUAUAUUGGAUAAAUAUAAUUAUUCAUGAAUACACUAUGUAAUACCAAUUAUUUGCCUGGGCCCACUUCUAAAAACAAUGAAUCAAAGCAGAGAGUAAAAACCCAAAUAAAGAGUCCAUUUUUACAAGCCCAAUAUCAUUAGCUGGCCCAAAAUCUAGGUUCUACCCUAGCUCGAUUUCAGCAUAGCCCAAAGCAAAUGUUUAGAAGCAGCAACCCUAGUUGCAUGUGCCUCCAGCAGUCUCCAGCCGCCGCAAGAUCCGGAAUUGACCUUCUCCACGCGCGCCGUAUUCUCCAUGAACACCUGUAAAAACGGACUAAGAGUCCACAAAGGAAAAUAUUGUAAAACUAAUGUAUUUUCUUAGGCUAUAAAAAGCCUAAUCUGUACAUUGGAAAAGGGGGGAGGGUAUUGAGAGAAGAUUGGAAAUACAAAGGAAAGGAAAAACGGAUUCAAAAUUUUUGAAUAACAGCGGUUUUUGUAAUUUUUUUUAGUUUGUUUUGUGGAUGUUUGAUUUAUUUAUUUAUACAUUUAGUUUUCAUUUUUAUUCUUUUAUUUUUAACAAUAAUAUAAAAGAGGAGAGGGGUAAUACCUUCGAGGAUUCGCCGUCAAAACUGCGUUCGUCUCGCUCAAAUCGGAGCUUGACGGAGCCCCAGGGAUUGACUCGCCGGAGAACGGCGGCGGUGAGAGCUGGGGUUGAAAAAACCUAGCAGAGGGUUUUUUUAUUUUUAUUUUUUCUUCCUUCUUACUGCUGCAAACAU